ensembl:lncRNA
CUUAUACUUAUUGUGGUUAGUAUUAUAUUCAACUUAUUUCUUCCAUUUUAUUUAUUCUAAUUGUCUUCCUUUGUUUCUUCUGUUUUGCCUUUUCUUAAAUGUAUAAGUUGUUCUGUAUCCCAUCUUUUCCUCUUUGGUUUUGGAAGCUAUAGACUGAAGUUCUAUGACCCUAAAGUUCCAUCUGAGCCACCAGGGAAGCACCUUUACCAUCUACAUUUAACUGUAAGUGUUUCAAAGUAUAAAGAUUUUCAGUAUUUUAUCCUUCUCUUGAAUAGGCAAGAGUCUUAGCACAUUUUAACUAAUGAACACUCCCUCUCCCAUCAUAUUAUCUUAAUAUUUUGUUUAACCAUUAAAAAAAUUAUUUCUAUGCUCACUAAGGAUUCUUGAUUUAUAAUGCUACUAAAGAUUCAGUUUUGUGUUGUAAUACAUCCUUUAAUGGAAAUUUUAAUGAUUCAAAGCUGAUAAACUCAAUUGUUUUUAAUGUUUAAAAAUUCCUUUAUUUUUAAACUCACUUUAAAAUGAUAGUUUAACUAGGUAUAAAACUCUAGAUUAACAAUUUUCCCCCUCAGAUCUUUGAAGAUAUCACCCCCUUGUCUUCUAGAAUCUAUUGUUAUUGAGGAGUCUACCAUCAAUGCAAUUUUCAUUCUUUUAUAAGUAAUUUCUUUUUCUUCAAGUACCUUUCAAUAUUGCCUUUUUAGCCUUGAAAUUCUACAGUUUUACUGCAAAAUCUAGAGAUAUGGAUUUAUUUUUAUUUAUCCUGCUCAAUAUUCAAAAGGCAUUUUUCCAAUUAAUGUUUUCAAAUGUUGUUUCUUUACCAUCCCAAGUUUCUUCCAGAACAUUUAUUAAUAUUAGACAUAAAUUGGAACUUCUCAAUCUAUCUUUUAUGGCCUUAACUCUGACUCUGGACUACUUUUUUUGGGUGAUUUCUUCAAGACAACCUUCCCAUUCACUAAUUCCCUCUUCUUCUGACUUGCCUAGAAUAUAUUCUAUCUAACGAUUUUACCUUUCUAACUGGUUUUCUUUUAUAUUUACCAGUUCUUCUUUCAUUUAUGCCUGCUCUGUUUCAUAAUUAUCUUUUAAAAAUGGAUGUUAUUCUUUGAGUAUUUAAACCACACUAAGUUUUUGUCAGAUUGUCAUAUUAAUUUCUUCUGGACAAAACUGAUCUAACAAGUGUUAAUUUUGUUGACUGUUUUUCCUAGUGUUGGGUAUCUUUUUGAAAGCCCAUUUGAGUGGGUGUCCUUUUAAUUUCUUUCACUUCAUCUUUUCUAUCCUAGAGGUUUUAUAGAGGUCUCUGCUUCAGAACAAAAUGGUAGCUUGAGAUCCUGCCCAACCAUGGUAUUAGUGAUCUCUCCCUGAGUAGUAGAAGCGUGUGGUUUUUGGUUGCUGAGCUGUGACUACUUCCUCGUUCAUCUAAAGGCUUACAGUUUCAUGGAAGCAGUCCUAGGUAGUGUCAUCAGCUUUUUUUUUUUUUUUUUCCCAACCUUCUUUCUCUAAUGAGAAAGUUCUACUUCAGUGCUUAAUUUUAAGCCAUGAACCUAACUCCAGUCGUCAGCUCUGCUUGGGAGCUUCUUUUUAUCCUUCUGGAUUUGAAAUUCAGCCAACUGCAGCUUCAGCAUUGUCUACCAUUUCAACAUUAAUUCACAGAGAAAAAGAAAAUUAGCUUCAUUUGUGGAAGCAGAAUUAUUUAGAGUUGGACAGACCAGGGUGUCAACCACAGACCCACCACUUACUAGCUGGAAGUCUGGGGGAAAGUUAUCUAACUUGUUUGAUUAUGUUUUCUCAUUCAUCAAUUAGAAAUGAUAAUACCUACCUCACAACUUUGAUGGGAUGAAGUUUCAAACAGUGUCUGGCACCCCGUAGAUGCUCACAACAUGCAUUAGAAUGAUAAUCAACCAAUCAUUUUAAAACAUAAAUAUGUAGUUGCAAACAAAUCCAUAUUUGUAACCAGAAGUCUCCCUCCCUUAAAUAUGGGAUCUGGACUUACAGACUUCCUCCUCAGUACUCUCUUCAUGCCUCCCUCCUGGUACUUGCUGAUCAAGAUGCUUAAUAAUAUGAAUUUUAACAGGCUGAUCAUAGGUUCUUACAACAGAUCAGGUAAAAUUUCAUUAAUUUAAUUUGGAUUUUAUGAUUUAUAUCCAACAGUCAAAGUAUUCUUGAGAUAGUUUAUAACAACAGACACAUGUACAAUAAGUUAGAUGAAUAAGAAAAAGAGAAGUCUGAACCACAGAGGAGAAAGGGAGAAUACUUAUGCCAGAAACCUGAGCUAAUUGUUUCUGUAAUUGAGAAUUAAAUUUGUUUAAGGCUUCUUGUCAGCUGAAGGCAAAAGAGUGGAAAGUGAUGGGUGACAUAGUUCUCAAUGGCUAAAGUUUUUCUCUUAAGUAGUUUGGCAAGGUUACAAUGGGCUAAAAACCAUUUAGGGGUUGAGCUCCAUUCCAGGUACAUGGUGUGGAAGAAGAAAUUCUCUACAUAGAGAUGAAAUCUAUCCCUCUGGCUUUAGAAAUAGGCUGAACAACUCUGGAUUUGGGUGACUUAGUGCAAAUAUGAUUCUCAGAGACAGGAAGCUGGGAUUGAGGACUUUUAAACUAAUGUUUUGAAAACCUCAGGUAAUAAAAGAUACAUAUUUAUUGUCAAAAUUUGGAAAACACAAGAAUAUAAAGAAGAAAACAAAAAAUGUCUCUUCAUAAUCCCAUUGCCUACAAUCAUUAUCAAAACUUUAAUGAAUUUCCUUCUAGACCUUUUUCUAUGUGUACAUAUAUUAGCUGACUUCUUGUAGUUGUCUUCCAGUCAGAUGACUAUAAAUUAGGUGGUCUUUGGUCCAAGUGGUUACUAUAUUUAAUAAUAAGAAUAUCUAUUGCUUGCCUACUGAAUGCUCAAUGUGCUCCAGAUACUUACUGGUAUCUAAUACCAACUGGUAUCUAAUACCAACAGGUACAAGGCAGUUUUUCAUGUUUGCAAAGAGGUUAUAUAACUGGUUUUAAAUGACACCCAGUGAGAGGAGGAGAAAGAACACACGCUUGGGUGUGUCUGACUCUGCAGGGUAGUGCCUCUCUCUUACUAGGUGCUGCUUCUCUGAGACACAGGCAUCUCCCUGGUGCCUGGUACUUGCCUGUGACUCCUGGGAGCAGGGGUGCCUGGGUCUGACAUCAACUCAGCCGGCUCGUGGGCGCCAAAUGGCCAGAACAGAAAGCAGAAGGAGCUCGUUCUUUCCCUUAUCUCUCUCUUUUCUUUUCUCCCCUUCCCCUACAUGUUGGAGGUCACUAACUCCAGCAUGUGAGGUUUUCAGGUUAGCUCAGGCAGCUGUUCUGAUGGAUUUUGUUCUGACAAAAUAUUGUAAUUCAAACAUCUUUUAUGCAGAUCAAGGUGAGAGAAAGUCAGAAAUCAUGGUUCUGUUUUCAGUCUCCAUGAUACCAGAGAGCAGGGAACAUGCUUGCUUGUCAUUGUUAUUACUGUGCUUUACAAUUGAAGCUUUGUGCAGUUUUAAGUUCCUUCUCUCUUGAGCCCCCUUAUCUGCUCAGAAACUUCUCUCUUGGGUGAGUCACAGACUGAAGCAUCCUACAGCAGCCCUUAAGGAGCUAUUAAUAACCUGCUCCCUCUGCUCAAUACAGGCUACAUGGUCGCCAAGACAGGCUGGCUGCCACACCCAGAAGGGGCAGUUAACUGCAUGUGGCCUUUGGCCAAUGCGAGUAGUGUCCUGUGUGCCAGGGGUGCAUUUGCCUGAAAACUGGCCAAUCUUCUCCCCUCUUCCUCACCACUUUUGGGGACUGAUUUGCUAAGUGUUGAAGAACCAAGAGGCCUAAAUGUCAGGACUCCUGGUUGUCCACAUGGUGAGCUGAGAUUCUCCGAGUGGAGAGCUCUGAGCCACCUGGAUGAAUCUGGCUGGGUUGACAGUGGAUGUGACUCAGCAACUGAGAUGCCCUCUCUCCACUAUAUUUGCAUAACUCUAAGCAUAGGGCUUUGUCUUUCCCAACAAUUACUCAUUUGACCCUGGCACAACAGAGUCUGCUUCCUGAGGAGAUGUUUGUGGGAAGAAAAGUUUUAAAAGGAUGUUACACACCUGAGCUUCCACACUCCAUGUGGUGGUAAUUCAUCUCAAUUGCUGGAAGUAUAAAACAUGGCAAACCACGAAGAGGCUGGUUUUCCCAAUGUGCCAAAUGACUUGCCCCUGAGGCUUGGGACCCAUUUAAUAAUAAUAGCAACCAGAACACAAACAGUAGUAAUAACAACAAAUAACUCUUGCAUAGCACUGAACAUGUUACAGGAAGUAAUCUAAGCACUUUACCUAUAUUAACUCAUAUUUUCCCUAUUUUACAGACAAGAGAUGAAACACAAUGAAUUUAAAUAACUUACCUAACAUCACAGAGUUAGUAAGAGACUGAGCCAGAAUCCCAGGAAUUCUAGCUUCUUAACCCAGACCACAAGUUUGACUUGAAUGUUCACGUGAGAGGAACAGUGGAAGAUAGAAGAAAACCAUAAGUUUUGCAACAUAUGGCUUCUCAAAUCCAAGGAUAGUUCAGGUGGCCCUCCCACACUUAGCAUAUCAAGGUUCUGUGGUGUUAAUUUCAUAUUCUAGAUCGCAGAGAAGUUGUGGCUGGCUGUUUGGAAAGACAGAAAAAGUCCCGCCAAACCUUGAGCUGGCCAGAAGUGUCUGGCAUUUUGGAUGGAUGUGAAGAGCCUCUCUCUCACUGUCACACCAUAGGGCUUAUGGACCAUACUGGGGAGAGGCCUUGGCAACACUGCCCAGAAGUGGACCAUGCCAGCUGAGAAGAGGCCCCAUCCAGGGAAAACCCUGAUGAUUGGAGUGUGCACAUGUAGAUGGUAACUGGCCAAGGGGUGGGGGCAGUGAGAGCUUCCAGACAGCUAUUGGGAAAAUGCUGAGGUGGCCAACAUGGCUUCUCACUCCCAGGGCACGGACCCGGAGGAGCCUGUGGUCUUUCAUGUUGUAGCUGUCUAGGGCCUUGGAUUAGUUUUCUAUGACUGCUCUCACAAAUUAUCAUGAAUGUAAUAGCUUAAAGCAACACAGAUUUAUGGUUCAAGAGGUCAAAAGUCUGACUAGGUCUCACUGGACUAAAAUCAAGGUGUUGGAAGGGCUGUGUUCCUUUCUAGAGGAAAAUUAAUUUCCUUCCUUUUCCUGCUUCAGGAGACUGUCCACAUUUCUUGACUUGUGGGCCCCUUCCACCUUCAAAGCCAGCAAUGGCCCAUCAAAGCCUUUCUCAUAUGACAUCAUUCCUGACUCUUCUGCUUCCCUCUGCCGCAUUUACAGAUCCUGUGAUUACAUUGGCCCCGCCUGUAUAAUCCAGGAUGCUAUUUCUAAAGUCAACUGAUUAGCAACCUUAAUUUCAUCCGUUUCCUCAAUUCUCCCUUGCCAUAUAACAUAGUCAUAGGUUCCAGGGAUUAGGACAUAGACAUCUUUGUGAGGUCAUUAUUCUGCCUACCAUAGGCCCCCCGCCAAAUGGAAAAGCUGAGAACCCUGAUCACGGGCAUUCAAGCCCAACUGAGAGCCUGCUAAGCAGCUGGCAGUCUCUGCUGCUUCCUGGAGAAGAAUCACCUGGGGUCUGCUGCAGAGAAAAGGUUGGGAAAUCACAUGAAUGAUGCUUAAAGAGCUUCAGAUACACCCAUCUUCCUGAGAAGACUCAACUCAAAGUCUAGAGCAUCAGUGCCUGUGCUCCCUACCAGAGCCUAGAAAAAGAAUCAUCCCACAGGGUCAAAUUAAUUACAGGAGCCAGGAAUCCUGCUGAACAAUGACCACAAGACACAGUUUCUAGGAGAAUGUGAGCAUUCUCCACAGGUAACUCAGCUCCAAAAUCUUGAAAGUGUAUCCAGAACAAUUCUUAAUCAUGUGUUUUGGAUACAUUAGGGACACUUUAUUCAAAAGCAGGUUGAGCCUGUGGGUGUUUCAUGUGUCUCCCUUCUAGGGUUAACGUAGUACUUGUAACAUGCUUCUAUUUCUUGGUCUUGACACAGCUCCUUCAGGAGUAUGCAGGAGAGAGGCCUCGGAUUCCAACACUGCUUGGCUACCCAUUCAGGGUUAACUCCAGCCAUAUACUUUUAGUCUGACCAGAUUGAAACGUUUAGAUUUAAAAAUUUUAAGCAUCUUAUUAUUAUUUAUAUUUUCAGUGCUUCUAAGCCACUCCAAAAUCAUGGCAGUAGCUUUCUCUGUCAGUCUCUUACGAGCAGGGCUGAUUCCCUCUGUGAGUUUGGUCAGGUUACUUGACCUCUCCACGUCUCAGUUUCCUCAUCUGUACCUUGAGGAUAAUAAAAGCACCUGCCUCAAAAGGCUGGAGUCAGGAGCAGAUGAGAGACCACACAAAGCCCUUAGAAUAGAGCACAAUACUUGGUAAAAGCUCUGAUGCAUCUUGGCUGUUACAGUUAUCAAAAGACCUAACAAGAUAUGAAGCUUUUCUCUUCUGGCCAGAGAACCAGUCAUUUUGAUAUCUCAAGAACACUGAUAUUCACCCAAUCUUGACUGCAGCAGAUAUAUUCCUAAGCAAAGUUUCCUUUGUAUUGCUCUACAGGAAUACUGUUCCCAUAUGGCUGUUUCUUAUAGUCAAAGGGAGACAUCAAGCCCUAUUUCAAGUGGGUGAAUGACAGGCAGAUGGAGAGCAGAGCAGCUAUACCAAGGUCUCUUCUCAGUUUGGAAUAGGGACACAAAUACAGCAGAGGGCAUUCUCUUGGGGCUCUCUGGUGUCCAGUUUAUCUUAAUUCAAACUCAAAAGAGAAGCCUCCCAGAACAAUGUCAUGUAGCCCUCAGGGUCAGCCCAAUCCUACUAAUUCAAAAGGCCACCUGGACAAUCUUUCUCAUGAACAGAUUUUGGCCAAACUAGUUUUAAUGCAGCUUCAAACCUCCAUGCCCCAGCUCCACUUCCAUCUCUGUACUUUGUGGCACAGUGUUAAACAACACAGAAUGGUCACUGGGUUCUGUAAAGAAGCAUGAGUCCUUGGGCUUCCCGCCCCACCCCAGGACUGCUUGCUGACCUCUGACCUCAUGCCUGGUCAUCUGCUCUUUCUGCUCUCAUGGUAGUUCCCCAGCCUGCCUCCAAAAGGCCAGAUUCUACAACCAAGCCCAGAAGAGCUUCAGGGCUGGAGACCUGCAACCCCAAAUGGCACACAGGCCACAUAAAUUCCUCAGAUAUGCACCCCAAAGCAAAAGAGCCUCUGGGGAUUCAGUUUCUCUUACCAAGUUUGAGCUGAGGGAAAAACAUUUUAAAGGCAUGUGAGGAAAGCUGUCAGAGAACUGUUUUGCUCAACAUCAAAUGCAUUCCAGGCCUUAUCUAAUCAGGGAGUCUUCUUCACAGCUGAUGCAGAGGCCGUUCCUGCAAAUUGUUCCCGAGCCAGGGAAAGGGGCCUUGAUUUUAAAUACAAAAUAAUGGUCCUUUUGGCACAGGCAAAGUAGGUUGGCAGCUGGAGGUUUGGGGUGACCCCUGACCCUCUCCCACAGUUCCUCCUGAGUCCCGCUGCACAAAACUGAGCCAUCCUCAAACCCCAGGCUCUAAUUGGCUCUGGUUUGUUUUGCCUUUCUAUUCUAUCCAGAGCUUCAAAAGGCGCUUCCGUAAUUGUUUGAGGCAUGAAAAAGGCAGGUUUCAGCUUUCCUAACUGGAAUUGGAGGUAAUUACUGUCUUGCCCACACGAGCCGGUACAUGCUUCAAAUCAGAUGGCCCUGGGUUGUUUUAUAAAGUGUAGCUGGGCCUCUGAGCCAAGAGAGGGAGGAUUAUGGAGCCUUCCAAAGGCUUUGUUCCAGAGAGAGAAGAAUUCGAACACCUCAGAGAUGGUGAGGGGAAUUUCCAUAUUCUUUUGCGGUCACUGCAAGCCCUACCCAAGAGGCUUGGCUUGAAAAGAUUGUGUCCUCAAUCUAACAAAUUCAGGGGAAUUUUUGGUCCUCUCUCUAAAGAGACAGAAGCCUGACACCUCACAGGACUCCCAUUUUGUUUGUGAUCAGAAAUGACAGGCUUGGCCUGGGCUGUCCUGCUGAGACAUCUCAGGAUGGGGCCAAACUAAGCCAGGCAUACUGAGAGCCCAUCUCGGAGCACCAGAUUUGGGUUCACUUUUAUACUCUCAGCAAACCCAAAUACAGAGUCUCAGAUUCACCUCCCCAAGUGUGGACUGGGAAGCAGGACCCUGUUUCAAAUCUCAGCCUAUGAGCUGCAUGUCCAUAGGCAGCUGAGUCAUACGGCAAAUCCUUCUUGGCCUCCCCUAUAAAGUGAGAAGAGUGACUGGCCCAACCUCGUAGGGUUGCUGUGACAGCUAAAUGAGGUCAACUGUGGAAAGUGCUUGAGUGUAGCACUCACUACACAUAGUGAGUGCUCAAUUAAUGUCCACUGUUAUUAGCUAACAUAAUUGUCAGGGGCCUGGUUAUGAUGCUGGAGGAUCCACUCUGCAAAUGGUGGAGAUUUUCAAGACUCUUGGGAGUCUUGCAAUGGAGGAAGAAAAGAAGCUGCUGCAGGAGGAACCGAAGGAAGCUGAAGGGGGAACAGAGUGAUCACCCAUACCCACAAGUGUCUUCCCUCCCAGGGGCAUCACCAUAAAUAUACUAGGUUUCCUGAAACUGCACAGACUUGAGAUUUAGUUUUGCCUUUUUUCACUGAUAUACCUCAAUGAGGCUCAGGUGGUUAAACAGCAUUCACACACCAGUGUGAACUGGUUUACUUGCUUUCUCCCUAACACCUACACAGGCAGCAUCUCCAAGGGGCCAAGGAACUUGGAACUGAGGAAGAUAGAGAAAAUAACAGAGCUAUGAAGCACUUCCCAGGACAAAGCUAGUUGUUCCAAUUCUAGAAGUUCUGGUUUAAUCCACUCACUGGCUCACAGACAGCUUGCUUGGCUCAUGGGAAAAAAAGGAUGUGGGAGUCAGUGUCCUGGGAGCAGUGAAUUGCUUUUCUGAUUUUUGUAUUUGCAUGUCCACUACUCCUAAGUGCAAUUGACCAGCCUUUUCAAGUGGCUUUCAGGGCUCCUCCUCUGUCCAAGAGAGCUCCAUAUGGGCAGCCCAGGGUGCAGGCCUCAGUCCUUUUACACAUCAUCCCUAAAUGACCUCAUCUGGGCCCUCUGAUGAGGGCUCCAGUCUUCUUCUGUGUUGCUGACUCCCAAACCAGCUUCUCUCCUGAGCUGGGAAUUCAGUUGCCUACACGACAUCUCCCUUUCAAGUGUUCCCAACUAAACUUUCAGCAACCCCUUCUCCCCACCCUGUGCCACCCAAAACAAUGAAAACAAAAAAUCCCAUCAAUAAGGUCUCUUUGUAAAUGUUCUCGCCGCAGAUGACCAUCAAAACCAUUGGUCUCUUUAUACCAUGUGCUCUUCUUUCACAGCAUUUCAGACAAGCUAUAUUUAUUUUUAUGUAUUUUUGUAUAAUAUCUGUCCCUCAAUAGACUGAACUUCAUGAGGAUGAGAUGUGAUCUAUCUGCUUCCUGUUCUUCCCUGACACAUAGUGGUGGGGGGUUUAGUUGCUAAGCUCUGUGCAAUUUUUGAGACCUCAUGGACUGUAGCCUGCCAGGCUCCCCUGUUCAUGGAAUCCUCCAGGCAAACAAUACUGGAGUGGACUUUCAUUUUCUUCUCCAGGGGAAUCUUCCCAACCCAGGGAUCGAACAUUGGUCUCCUGCAUUGCAGACAGAUUCUUUACCAACUGAGGCCCAGGGAAGCCCUGAUGCAUAGUAGGUUCUUGCUAAUUAUUUGCUAAAUGAAUGAGUGAUUUCAAAGUGGAGAUGAGGCUUUGGGUAAGGAGGAGAGUUCUUAGGUACAAGAAGGCCAUGAAACCUCAGAAAAAAAUACUUGAGAUCACAUCUUGCUUUCCUGAAGUAGGCCAUUUGGCCACUUCCCCCUUCUACUUGAUGAAGUUUCAUAUUUGAUAAAAGCCCUGAACAGUUAGAACAAACAAGUAGGCCCUGAUCAUGAACUUGAUGAAGUGCUGUGAGCCUAAAUGCCUGAUAUGGGGAGUGCCUAAAUUAUACUCAGCAACAUGGUGGACUCUCAACUAUCCUUUUCAGUGGAUAAUUUAAUAGCCAAUAUUCUAGUAGUUUUAAUUUAAUAGUUCAUAAUCUUGAAAGUUUUACAUGUGGCUUUAUAUUAUGUUUCUGAAUUUGCAUCAGGAUACAAGGAGCUCUAACGGUUUAAGAAUUCACAAUAAUUUGAGCUCAAAUGUCCAAUGUCACUGUCCCAGUUGCCUGUUAACAACUCCUCUGGGCUCCAACCACAUGCAAAAGAAAAAAAAAAAAAACUGCGUUGGGCUUGGGAGGAAACUGCAUUGGCAUUUUUUGGGGAGCGGGGCUUUGUCAGAAUUAGAGUCCAAACUCCAGCCCUUCCUUCCACUUACCAGCUCUCUUUUCAUGUGAUCUGGCCUGGUCUUUGCUUUCUCAUCAACACCUUCCUCCCAGAACUGUUUGGAAAUGCAGUCAAGUUUUCAGAAAAAAAUUAAUCUGUACUAUUCCCUCAGGUAGAUGCAAAACAAGUCAAAAGCAAUGUUGAGCCCUCUGCAAAGUUUCUGUUUCACCUCUGAGGAAAGAAAGAUCUCUCUUCUCUUUUUCUUUCUUCUUUAAAGGGCCUUCUCUUCCUGAUCCAGUGGGCUAAAGUAAACAAGGGCCUUUUUCCAUAAAUCAUAUCUGCUUGUGAAAGCUCCCGCUAAUGCCUCUAGAAACCUGAAAGAAAAGUGCUGUCCUAGGCAAUCUAAUGUGGAAACACUGGGUCCUGCCUGGGCUCCUCUGCCUGGAGCCCUGGGUAGGGCUUCCACUGGCCCUAUCGAUGGCGUGAAUGGUGGUGAAUUUCCUCACGCUAAUGCAUAUGUCUGGGCAUUUGCUCAUGUUGUCUUGGGUCCAAGUCUCAAGGUUAGAAUGUGGAGACAUCCUGCGAUCCAAGGCAGAACCAAUCAUGUUGUCAGUGGAUGGAUGGGACCCCAGAAUUCCCACCUCCUUUUCCCGUCAUGAAGUUUAUAUCUCGAGGGAAAACAGCUGUCCGGGUUCAGGCCAACUGGGACUGAAGCCAGCUGUUCCUUCUAGAUGCCAAAAGCCAGAUGUACACCCACUCUUCUCUCCCACUCCCUAAGCCCGAAGUCUUAAACUUUAUCAAAUUUAUUAAUAACUUUGCUAAAAACACAUCUCUCCAGGCUCCCCUCCAGAGAAUUUGAUUCAGUGAGUUCAGGUUGACCAGGAAAUCUGCAUUUAAAUAGCAACACCUCCACCCCCUACCUUCUUUCUUUCCCUGGGAAAUUCAGAUACAAUUGCUCUGAGAAUCAUACUUUGAGCAACAGUCUCCACAGUGAAAGCUGGUAAAUGUUUAAGAAUUGAUUUUGGAGUGAAGAGAGUCUGCAUUGUAGCCUAUUGACUUCCAUGAUGCAACUGUCCCCAUCACGGUCGAUUCAAGCUACCAACAAUGACACCCUGAUUUAGCUUUGUUUUUCCUUGUAUCCCCAGCUCUUGGAGUGGUUUGUUUUAGUGACUGAUUCCCAGAGACCUCUAGGGGUUCCAAAGCAGAAAGAGAGGAAAAAGGAACAGGAAAGAAAACGCAAUUAGUGAGGGACCCUGGCCUUGGCCACAUCGACAACCGUGUUCAACCCAGCUUUUAGCAGGAGGAGGUUUUCAAACACCUGCUUCUCCCUUCGUUUGAUAAGCUUUCUGGUCGACUCACAUAAACCUGAUCCUGCUGACCUAGGGGAUGAUGAAAAGGCUGAGUGUUGGGCACCUGAGGGGAUGAAAGGGGCUGGGGGAGGAUCAUGGGGUGGUCAUAUGACCCGGGGUCGCCAGCGGCUUAAGCCCUUUUGUGCCCCCACCCCCACCUCCGGCUCCGGCCCAGCUCUGGAGGGUUUUGGUGAUUUCCUCCCACCCCCGACUAGGCAAACAGAUGUGGAAAGGUCUCCAGUUCCCAGGGCUUCAGACACAACUGCUGGUUGUUUCUCCCCUGCCGAUGGGGCCUGUGAUCACAGAAAGAACAGUUACACAUCACUCCCCAAAGAGCUGGGCCCAGUUAGGCGCAGGUUCAAACACUCUCUGUGUGUCUGCAGUGAAAAACUGAACCGAAGCGGACUGAAAAAUAACCCCAUCCCUCCCUGCCUUGCUCUAAGUCCACUUUGUGGAAAUGCUGAGGACUUUAGGAGAGGCUGGCUUGUCAGCUUUUCCGCGGCGACCAAAUCCUCACGGGUGCCCUGAUCUUUAGAACCAAUGCAGUCUCUCGGGCCUGCUGCUUCUCUUGUCCUGAUUGGUGGUCCUGCCAGAGGGAGUGAGCCCUCUUGCCCGCUUGAAGUCUGGAGCUUGAAGGACCCCACUGCUCUGAAAAGGAUGCCUCUGCAGUGCACUGAGCUUUUACAGCUCAUUGGAUGAAAGGGAGAGAAGAAAAGCAUUAUCAAGAAAGGGCUGCAGGUGUUAGCUUCCUCAUUUACCUUAAUUAUACCACCCCGAUCGUCCAAGGAAUUUCUCAGAGCCUAGCUUUCUCCUACCAGCCACACACCUUUCGUAAGUGGGGCAAACAGAAACAUAAAAAUACCCUAAUGUCCCUUAUAUAAAGAACCUUUCUCAUAUCUACUCCAUCCACAAGAGUAAGCUGGUAUCUAACAAGCUAUGUAUCUAAGAAACAUCCAACAAUGUUUCUAGCCUGUGUAACAGAUGGUGGCCAUCACAGUCUGACACAAAGACCUGGUACACGCAUGUGUUAGCAUGUAGCACACUCACCUACAAAUGCUAUAAGCAAUGAAACAGCAUCCAUUUCUCUAAAGCAAUGGGUCUCAAAGUGAGGUCUAUGGACCCCUGGCGUCCCUGAGACCCUAAGAAGGUGUUUGCAAGGUCAAAACUAUGUUCAUAAUUCCAAGGUGUUAUUUGUCUGCUUCACAGUGUUGACAUUUGGGUAAAAUUGUCAUAUUCUUCACUGCCACAAAGUCGGACCAAAAAAAAAAAGAAACCAAUUUCACUUAAGCGUAUCUGAGAUGGAGCAGUAGAAAUUAAUAAUUUUAUGAAAUCUUGCCCAAAGUCCAAGUCUUUUGAGUAUUAUGUGUGGCAAACUAGAAAGUAAGCAUAAGGCAUUUCUGGUGCUUUCUGAGGUACAAUUGUUUGUUCAGAGAAAAAGCAUUUGUGAGAGCGUCUGAGUUGUGAGUUGAACUAGCCACUUUCAUGAAAUACCAUGUUUACUUGAAAGGACUGAAUUACCAUGGUUAUUCAGACUUGGUUAUUUGACAGUCAUUUUCUCCGAAAGGAACAAUCUGAAUUUGUCAUUUCAAGAAAGAUAAUUGACAGUGCUUGUUGUCAAAAUAAAAACUUUCAAGCAAAAGUUAAAAUUUCUGAAAACUUGUAUCUGUCUCAGUGAGCUUAAUACUGUCUCAGUUCUUAGAGAGGUUUCAGAUAAGAUCAGUGGUGAUAUCAACAAAUGUGAAUUUUUAGUUUUAAUCAUGAAGUAGAUCAGAUUCAGAUCCACAUAACUUAGUGAAGCAAUAUUUUCCAAAUGACCAUGCAUAGAUUACAAAAUCAUGCAUGGGCAAAAGAUCCAUUCAGUGCAACACAGACCAAACAGAUUUUAAUGAAACUGAGUACAAAGAGUUCAUUGAGAUAGUUUCAGAUUCCACAUUGCAAGUAACCUUUAAUAAAUGACCAUUUAUCGAGUUCUGGUAUCGUGUCAAAGAAGAAUAUCUACAAUUAUCUGAAAAGGCUUUUAAAAAUAUUCCUCCCUUUUCCAGCUUCGUAUCUAUGUGAGGCUGGGUUUCCUUCAUAAACUUCAACCAAAACAAUAUUAUCACUGCUGAUUGAAUGCAGAAGUAGAUAUGAGAAUCCAGCUGUCUUCUAUUAAGCCAGACAUUAAAGAGAUUUGCAAAAAUGUAAAACACUGUCAUUCUUCUCAUUAAAUUUUGUUCUGUUUUGUUUUGGAAAACACAGCUAUUUUUACAGUAAGACUGUGCUAUUUUAAAGUUUUAAACAAAUGAAUAAAGUUUUGGAUUUUUGUCAAUUAAUAAAUAGGAAUUUAUCCAUAUAAAUAUAUGUUAAAGGGUUAACAAAUAAGCAUUAACACAAUAUUGACUGGGAGAUUUUUGCAGAAACUAAUGCCCGUGGCUGGCAAUUUAUUAUGUAAGUAUAUAUAAAAACAUCCACAUUUGAGUAUCAACAACUUUAAAAAAAAUAGUUUUCUGUUCUAAUUUUUAAUAUGGUAAAUGACUUAAAUAUCUAUUGCUGCAUAGCAAAAUACUCCAAAACAUAGUGGCUUAAAACAACAAUAGUCACUAAACAAAUGAAGAAGAUGUGGUCCAUACAGCAUGGAAUACUACUCAGCCAUAAAUGAGAAUGAAAUAAUGCCAUUUGCAGCAACAUGGAUGGACCUAGACAAUAUCACACUCAGUGAAGUGACUCACAAAGAGAAAAGCAAAUACCAUAUGAUAUCACUUAUAUGUGGAAUCUAAAAUAUGACACAAAUAAACCUAUCUACAAAGCAGAAACAGACUCACAGGCAUAGAAAAGACUUAUGGUUGCC